GGACCGGUAGCCCAAAGGCAGAGGCAGCACGUUGAGGACGUGUCCAGUGCGGGUUCGACUCCCGCUCGGUCUAC
rnacentral:tRNA from 1 species